UUCAGCUUGAGAAGCAGAACGGAUAGGAGCGGAGCGAUCAGUCCUUUGAUCACCUUGAGAACCCUGGCAGCAAAAGGAGCACACCAGGCGUUAACCAAGGUACAUACACAGCUCAUGCUGGACUUGCUUUGAGUUAAUAUACUAGAACAAGCCCCAAGCAGGCUACUGGGCUUGGAUCCUAGAGGUGUCACCAUAGACUAUGGAAAUGAUGUCAGACAAAAAGCGAAUUUGAGUGACUUUCUUAUUCGAGUUCAAAAUAGGUCGUAAAGCAGUGGAGACAACUUGCAAUAUCAACAAUGCAUUUGGCCCAGGAACUGCUAAUGAACGUACAGUGCAGUGGUGGUUCAAGAAGCUUUGCAAAGGAGACAAGGGCCUUGAAGAUGAGGAGCAUAGUGGCUGACCAUUGGAAGUUGACAACGACUACUUGAGAGCAGUCAUCAAACUGAUUGUCUUACGACUACACGAGAAGUUGCUGAAGAAUUCAACAUCAACCAUUCUACAGUCGUUCUGCAUUUGAAGCAAAUUGGAAAGGUGAAAAAACUCGCUAAGUGGGUGCCUCAUGAGCCGAGCAAAAAAAAAAUUGUUGUGUGGAAGCGUCGUCUUCUCUUAUUCUAUGCAAUAACAGUGAACCAUUUCUCGGUCGGAUUGUGACGUGCGACGAAAACUGAAUUUUAUAUGACAAUCAGUGACAACCAGCUCAGCUGUUGGACUGAGAAGCUCCAAAGUCAAACUUGCAAAAAAAAAAAAAA